rnacentral:lncRNA from 1 species
UACCUUGAUGAGAUUCAUAUUUGUUUCUCCACAUACAAGUUGAGUUUAAGUUCAGAUUUUAUGAGUUCAUAAAGGACAUGGAAUCCUUUGUUAGAAACUAGGUUUAAUAUUUUUCAAAAAUAAUUACUUAUACAAUUUUGUAUCUUCAAGGUAAAUUUAGUAUUAGGCCUUGUUUAGUUGCACCUGGUAAAGUUUAACUCCCGUCACAUCGAAUGUUUGGACACAUGCAUGGAAUACUAAAAAUAGACUAUUUACGAAACUAAAAACAUAGCUAGAGAGUAAUUUACGAGACAAAUCUUUUAAACAUAAUUAGUCCAUGAUUGGACACUAAUUACCAAAUAAGACGAAAGUACUACAGUACCUGUUAAACUUUAACACCUCCAACCAAACACCCCCUUAUAUGUUCAUAACCAGUGAAGUAAUAAUGUAAACUAUUAGGGUACUUUUCACAAAUUUAUGAUAUCCUAUUAUUAUACGUCCCCCACCCCACAAAAUAUGAACCUAAAGCUUAGCUUAUAUAAACAAAUCCAAGAUGGUUGUAUUAACUCAUUGCAGUUGUCUUGAAAUUUAUAAAACGUUUCCUUAUAAAAAUGUGAAGAAAUAAAAAAAAAGAGAAAAACUCAUUAAUGAAAGCAUGGACCAAUUGAAAUUGUUUGGUCAGUAUAUCAAGCCAAGUUUCUAUUCAUGGGGCUAAGUAGACAAAGUAAAUUGUUCACAGAUCUAGAAUGAGCUUAUUCCUAAAAUGAAAUGGAGGGAGUACUAAAUGUAAUAUGUUAUUGGAAUAGUACCACUCUAUCUCCUUAUGGCACCUUUAAAAGUUUUAGUUUGGUUUUGGUAGUUGAUAGAAAACAUUAGGUGAACUUAUGUUUUUUUAUGUGAGAUGGCACGGACAUGUGAUGAGAAGCUCAACACUUAGUGGUAUUGAAGAUGGAUCAGAGAGCUAUGGAAGCAAGAGCCCAAAGGCAAACGAAGGGCUUUGCUUUUGUCCUCUAAGGUA